UAUAUUUGUCCCAUGCAUUGUUCCUGCUUCGCAAUCUGCGGAAAAGGAUUAAAAGGGAAUCGGGUGCAAAUCCCGGACAGUCCCGCUGCUGUAAGCUUCAAAACGGAUUGGGCAAUUCUUUUAUGCCACUGACGCGAGUUGGGAAGGCGCUCAUACCGGAAGUAAGUCAGAAGACCUGCAACGCAUAUUUUUUCGAC
rfam:Parabacteroides merdae CAG:48 genomic scaffold, scf573